UACGUAGGGUGCGAGCGUUGUCCGGAAUUAUUGGGCGUAAAGAGCUCGUAGGCGGUCUGUUGCGUCGGCUGUGAAAACCCGGGGCUCAACUCCGGGCCUGCAGCCGAUACGGGCAGACUAGAGUUCGGCAGGGGAGACUGGAAUUCCUGGUGUAGCGGUGAAAUGCGCAGAUAUCAGGAGGAACACCGAUGGCGAAGGCGGGUCUCUGGGCCGAUACUGACGCUGAGGAGCGAAAGCGUGGGGAGCGAACAGG
rnacentral:rRNA from 1 species